CUCUAACCCUGGAGUAGGAAGGUCUAGCUGCCUGGAAGCAAGGUACCUGAGGUGGACAAUGGCUGAGGAGCUCUAGCCUGGUAAAACCUGAGGCUGCAGGCCAUGGUGAAGGCCUACAAAAGGGCUCGGGAGGGAGUUGAUCUUGUCUCUCCUCCAUUGCCUAUCCAAGAAGAAGGAUGAACCUGAAGGGACAAGGGUACUGACUUGAAGGGAAAGGCAGGGCACAUUCUUUGUCCAUUCUCUACCUUAAUUUGAAUUUGCCCUGAUGGACGCCUUUCCCACUGAAGGGAUCUCCACAGGAUGAGUGAUAAAACAGACCAUUUUGAUUGUCACCAUUGUAAAUCAAGGGCACAGUUGUUUUGCUCCCCCCAGUGUUACCUAGAGAAACAACUAAAGCUGCAUUUCAUGUCUGCAUAUAUUGUUUUCCAAGGAGUAACUAACUGUAUAUUACUGAUUAAAUAAAUACUCUUG